UGGGGAAUUUUGGACAAUGGGGGAAACCCUGAUCCAGCCAUCCCGCGUGUGCGAUGAAGGCCUUCGGGUUGUAAAGCACUUUUGGCAGGAAAGAAACGUCGCGGGUUAAUACCCCGCGAAACUGACGGUACCUGCAGAAUAAGCACCGGCUAACUACGUGCCAGCAGCCGCGGUAAUACGUAGGGUGCAAGCGUUAAUCGGAAUUACUGGGCGUAAAGCGUGCGCAGGCGGUUCGGAAAGAAAGAUGUGAAAUCCCAGAGCUUAACUUUGGAACUGCAUUUUUAACUACCGGGCUAGAGUGUGUCAGAGGGAGGUGGAAUUCCGCGUGUAGCAGUGAAAUGCGUAGAUAUGCGGAGGAACACCGAUGGCGAAGGCAGCCUCCUGGGAUAACACUGACGCUCAUGCACGAAAGCGUGGGGAGCAAACAGGAUUAGAUACCCUGGUAGUCCACGCCCUAAACGAUGUCAACUAGCUGUUGGGGCCUUCGGGCCUUGGUAGCGCAGCUAACGCGUGAAGUUGACCGCCUGGGGAGUACGGUCGCAAGGUUAAAACUUAAAGGAAUUGAC
rnacentral:rRNA from 1 species